ensembl:lncRNA
AUGAUAACAUAUGAGAAUAAUAGUUUGCCAUCUUAUAUGUUUAGGUCUUUUCCUGGAUUUUUCCGAAAGGAGGCAAGAGGCAAAAAGCGUUUUGCACCAUAUACACCAACACAACCUGGGAAGAGCUUUUUGGUGAACUUUUUUCUUCUUGAAAAGCAACAUGAAAAAACACCAAAUGGAGAAGAGGAACUGCAGCUUAUACUGGCUGGCCUUGGAAAACGUUCAUUAACCCUUAAUGAAAACAUCACACAUUCAGAGUUUUCAGAUUUGCUUUUGAGCACAUAUCCAAGACUGGCAAAUAUCUUUGGAGGCUGGUUGCUGCACAAGUCCACAAGUAUGUAGGCAUAUACACUGUAUUAAUGUCCAUGGUUUCAAAUUGUGUUUCAAUGUACUCCCUAGAUGAGUAAUUGCUGUAUAUCCAGAUUGGCUAUAUUUAGUAUCUACAAAUGUUCAAUUUUAGGUGGGGGUGGGCAGUAGAGAUUGGCUGUUAUCCCUCAAGAUUUAAAUGGAUACACCGGCCAGCAGCUAAAAGCAGUGAGUGGGAAUGGAAAAUAUACAAUGUACAUUGCUCCUUUACAAGAAGAACUGGAUACAGUUCCUUUACCACCAGAAGCAAAGGAAUUUGAGAAGAUGCCUAAAGCUCAGUGUACAACCUGCAAGAAAAUGGUUCCGCUUCAGAUUCUUCCAGGAUACAUAAAGGAAUGCAAGAAACAACUUGUAGAUUUGUGUGAUUCUGCUGAAGAAGUAUGUUAAAGCUUGUUCUUUUAGGCCUUAUUUAAGGUUUUAUUGGAUUGAAAAAUUACGUUUUUAUUGUGUACUGCGCAAGGAGAAAGUAAAGCUGCAAGGGAGAAGAUGAAGAUGAAUGCUCAGCUGCCCUUUGCUACUAGAAAAGCAAGGUAAGAUACUUUUUUUUAAGUUUAAUUUACAAAUGCCAUUUAUUAGCACUCACAAAUAUAUGUAAAAACAGCAUUGUAACUUGUAAUUGGUCUUUUCCAAGGUAUUUUCUUUGCACCAAUUGCAGGUCAUGGUGUUAUACAAUUUCACUUUGCUGGUGCUAUAAAUUAGGCUCUACAAGUGUUGUUUAAGUUUCUUUAGCUUCAAUAUGUUUUCUUAUAUUUCAGAAGAAGUGUAAUGCUUUAUUCACAUGCAUUGUAAAUUAAUUUGUUAGACAGCUGAGUGUCCUGUGUGCAGUAAUGCAUUUCAUCCUGAAAUCAUUGAGUUCCACGCAGCCAGUUGCGGUAAUGUUGGUUUCAGUGUUACUUUUUUAUGUUGAAUGUUGAUUUGACAAUAAAUUAGAUGUAAGGAGAUUUCCUGCCA